rnacentral:rRNA from 1 species
UACGAAGGGGGCUAGCGUUGUUCGGAAUUACUGGGCGUAAAGCGCACGUAGGCGGAUAUUUAAGUCAGGGGUGAAAUCCCGGGGCUCAACCCCGGAACUGCCUUUGAUACUGGGUAUCUCGAGUCCGAGAGAGGUGAGUGGAAUUCCGAGUGUAGAGGUGAAAUUCGUAGAUAUUCGGAGGAACACCAGUGGCGAAGGCGGGCUCACUGGCUCGGUACUGACGCUGAGGUGCGAAAGCGUGGGGAGCAAACAGG